GAACACGUGAGAAACCUGCCCCAGACUUUGGGAUAACAAAUGGAAACGUUUGCUAAUACCAAAUACCGUCGGAGAGUCACAUGACUUUCUGACGAAAGGUAUUCCGGUUUGGGAGGGUCUCGCGGCCUAUCAGCUAGUUGGCGGGGUAAUGGCCCACCAAGGCAACGACGGGUAGCUGGUCUGAGAGGAUGGUCAGCCACACUGGGACUGAGACACGGCCCAGACUCC
rnacentral:rRNA from 1 species